GCAUAUACUGUAUUUUUCGCUCCAUAAGUCACACCUGACUGUAAGACGCACCCAGUUUUUAGAGGAGGUAAGCAAGAAAAAAAUAUUCUGAAUGAAACAGUGGAUGUAUGAUUUUUGUGCUUAUAGUAAGACUAAACCUUAACACUAAGCAUACUGUGUACAGACCACACCAGAAGGAAAAGAGAUAGAAAGAGAACGUGAAACCCAGGCACCUUCUGGUCUUAUUAUCAUAUUAUUAUUAUUAUUAUUAUUAUUAUUAUUAUUAUUAUUAUUAUUAGCAUGACCUUGACAGAAGAGAUAACAGAACCACUUUAAACCAGCUGUAGUCAGCUUCUCAGAAGGAAUAACCCAAACAUCACAAACCUUCUGCUUGUUUCUUUCACACAGAGAAGCUUCCAGAACCCUUUUGAAUUAAUGAGAAUAGGAAAGAUCUCUACACAUCAGAUCAAUACUUUCUGCACUAAGAAAUGCAAACUGACACUAUGACCUUUCCCAAAUGCUGCCCAAUUUAAGGAGGAGGAAACUGGGCACUGCCCCUCCCGCCAUUCCAGUGCGUCUGAAGGAGACACACACUGACUGAUGUGUAGGUGAUCACUUUCCCGAGAAAAUAUGCUCUCUACUUUCCCAGGCAGUCCAAUCUGGGGGCCCUGUCAACUAAGAUUGCUCUCACUGGAACUGAGUGAAGAUGGCGGCUGCCAGCAGCAAAAAGACCUUUGGAUUGAUUCGGCAGGAACACCAGCGUGUGAGGAGAUGCUGUGAACUUAUAGAGGGGAAUCAUAGACAUAAAAUCCACACAGAAACACACCAUUGCUUGUUUUAACUCGCUUGUGGGAACAACUCAGAGGCUGUGAAAGAAGGAAGGUUAACAACAGAAAGAAUUAGAGGAACCAUCAGAAGUGACUAUGAAAAGCACUAGAAGUAUGAGAUGAUCAGAACCCUCCGAACUUGAAGCAUGGGAAGUCCUAUUAAAACUUUAUAAUUUGGCAGAAUAUUCG
rnacentral:lncRNA from 1 species